GGGUCAGUAGGUUGGUCGUGCCACCGGUACGUACUGGUCUCACUGAUUCCUCCUUCCUGAAGAACCGUAAUGCCAUUAAUUUGGUGUUGCGGGGAAGCAGGACUGUUACUUUGAAAAAAUUAGAGUGUUUAAAGCAAGCUAACGCUUGAAUACAUUAGCAUGGAAUAAUGAAAUAGGACGAUCGAUCCUAUUUUGUUGGUUCCUAGGAUUGACGUA
rnacentral:rRNA from 1 species